CAAGGAUUAAGCUCUUAGCUAUUUGUCUAGAAGGUUUCUCUUAAUGAGAAGCCCAC
ensembl:snRNA U7 U7 small nuclear RNA